GGUUAAGCGACUAAGCGUACACGGUGGAUGCCCUGGCAGUCAGAGGCGAUGAAGGACGUGCUAAUCUGCGAUAAGCGUCGGUAAGGUGAUAUGAACCGUUAUAACCGGCGAUUUCCGAAUGGGGAAACCCAGUGUGUUUCGACACACUAUCAUUAACUGAAUCCAUAGGUUAAUGAGGCGAACCGGGGAACUGAAACAUCUAAGUACCCCGAGGAAAAGAAAUCAACCGAGAUUCCCCAGUAGCGGCGAGCGAACGGGGAGCAGCCCAGAGCCUGAAUCAGUGUGUGUGUUAGUGGAAGCGUCUGGAAAGGCGCGCGAUACAGGGUGACAGCCCCGUACACAAAAAUGCACAUGCUGUGAGCUCGAUGAGUAGGGCGGGACACGUGGUAUCCUGUCUGAAUAUGGGGGACCAUCCUCCAAGGCUAAAUACUCCUGACUGACCGAUAGUGAACCAGUACCGUGAGGGAAAGGCGAAAAGAACCCCGGCGAGGGAGUGAAAAAGAACCUGAAACCGUGUACGUACAAGCAGUGGGAGCACAGAGCAAUCUGUGUGACUGCGUACCUUUUGUAUAAUGGGUCAGCGACUUAUAUUCUGUAGCAAGGUUAACCGAAUAGGGGAGCCGAAGGGAAACCGAGUCUUAACUGGGCGUUAAGUUGCAGGGUAUAGACCCGAAACCCGGUGAUCUAGCCAUGGGCAGGUUGAAGGUUGGGUAACACUAACUGGAGGACCGAACCGACUAAUGUUGAAAAAUUAGCGGAUGACUUGUGGCUGGGGGUGAAAGGCCAAUCAAACCGGGAGAUAGCUGGUUCUCCCCGAAAGCUAUUUAGGUAGCGCCUCGUGAAUUCAUCUCCGGGGGUAGAGCACUGUUUCGGCAAGGGGGUCAUCCCGACUUACCAACCCGAUGCAAACUGCGAAUACCGGAGAAUGUUAUCACGGGAGACACACGGCGGGUGCUAACGUCCGUCGUGAAGAGGGAAACAACCCAGACCGCCAGCUAAGGUCCCAAAGUCAUGGUUAAGUGGGAAACGAUGUGGGAAGGCCCAGACAGCCAGGAUGUUGGCUUAGAAGCAGCCAUCAUUUAAAGAAAGCGUAAUAGCUCACUGGUCGAGUCGGCCUGCGCGGAAGAUGUAACGGGGCUAAACCAUGCACCGAAGCUGCGGCAGCGACGCUUAUGCGUUGUUGGGUAGGGGAGCGUUCUGUAAGCCUGCGAAGGUGUGCUGUGAGGCAUGCUGGAGGUAUCAGAAGUGCGAAUGCUGACAUAAGUAACGAUAAAGCGGGUGAAAAGCCCGCUCGCCGGAAGACCAAGGGUUCCUGUCCAACGUUAAUCGGGGCAGGGUGAGUCGACCCCUAAGGCGAGGCCGAAAGGCGUAGUCGAUGGGAAACAGGUUAAUAUUCCUGUACUUGGUGUUACUGCGAAGGGGGGACGGAGAAGGCUAUGUUGGCCGGGCGACGGUUGUCCCGGUUUAAGCGUGUAGGCUGGUUUUCCAGGCAAAUCCGGAAAAUCAAGGCUGAGGCGUGAUGACGAGGCACUACGGUGCUGAAGCAACAAAUGCCCUGCUUCCAGGAAAAGCCUCUAAGCAUCAGGUAACAUCAAAUCGUACCCCAAACCGACACAGGUGGUCAGGUAGAGAAUACCAAGGCGCUUGAGAGAACUCGGGUGAAGGAACUAGGCAAAAUGGUGCCGUAACUUCGGGAGAAGGCACGCUGAUAUGUAGGUGAAGUCCCUCGCGGAUGGAGCUGAAAUCAGUCGAAGAUACCAGCUGGCUGCAACUGUUUAUUAAAAACACAGCACUGUGCAAACACGAAAGUGGACGUAUACGGUGUGACGCCUGCCCGGUGCCGGAAGGUUAAUUGAUGGGGUUAGCGCAAGCGAAGCUCUUGAUCGAAGCCCCGGUAAACGGCGGCCGUAACUAUAACGGUCCUAAGGUAGCGAAAUUCCUUGUCGGGUAAGUUCCGACCUGCACGAAUGGCGUAAUGAUGGCCAGGCUGUCUCCACCCGAGACUCAGUGAAAUUGAACUCGCUGUGAAGAUGCAGUGUACCCGCGGCAAGACGGAAAGACCCCGUGAACCUUUACUAUAGCUUGACACUGAACAUUGAGCCUUGAUGUGUAGGAUAGGUGGGAGGCUUUGAAGUGUGGACGCCAGUCUGCAUGGAGCCGACCUUGAAAUACCACCCUUUAAUGUUUGAUGUUCUAACGUUGACCCGUAAUCCGGGUUGCGGACAGUGUCUGGUGGGUAGUUUGACUGGGGCGGUCUCCUCCUAAAGAGUAACGGAGGAGCACGAAGGUUGGCUAAUCCUGGUCGGACAUCAGGAGGUUAGUGCAAUGGCAUAAGCCAGCUUGACUGCGAGCGUGACGGCGCGAGCAGGUGCGAAAGCAGGUCAUAGUGAUCCGGUGGUUCUGAAUGGAAGGGCCAUCGCUCAACGGAUAAAAGGUACUCCGGGGAUAACAGGCUGAUACCGCCCAAGAGUUCAUAUCGACGGCGGUGUUUGGCACCUCGAUGUCGGCUCAUCACAUCCUGGGGCUGAAGUAGGUCCCAAGGGUAUGGCUGUUCGCCAUUUAAAGUGGUACGCGAGCUGGGUUUAGAACGUCGUGAGACAGUUCGGUCCCUAUCUGCCGUGGGCGCUGGAGAACAUUUAAAGUGGUACGCGAGCUGGGUUUAGAACGUCGUGAGACAGUUCGGUCCCUAUCUGCCGUGGGCGCUGGAGAAUGAGGGGGGCUGCUCCUAGUACGAGAGGACCGGAGUGGACGCAUCACUGGUGUUCGGGUUGUCAUGCCAAUGGCACUGCCCGGUAGCUAAAUGCGGAAGAGAUAAGUGCUGAAAGCAUCUAAGCACGAAACUUGCCCCGAGAUGAGUUCUCCCUGACUCCUUGAGAGUCCUGAAGGAACGUUGAAGACGACGACGUUGAUAGGCCGGGUGUGUAAGCGCAGCGAUGCGUUGAGCUAACCGGUACUAAUGAACCGUGAGGCUUAACCUU
rnacentral:rRNA from 1 species